rnacentral:rRNA from 1 species
AAUGCAGUCGGACGAUGAAGCCCUUACGGGGUGGAUUAGUGGCGAACGGGUGAGUAACACGUGAGCAACCUGCCCUUGACUCUGGGAUAAGCCUGGGAAACUGGGUCUAAUACCGGAUAGUACCCCUUGCCGCAUGGUGGGGGGUGGAAAGCCUUGUGCGGUCUUGGAUGGGCUCGCGGCCUAUCAGCUUGUUGGUGGGGUGAUGGCCUACCAAGGCGACGACGGGUAGCCGGCCUGAGAGGGUGACCGGCCACACUGGGACUGAGACACGGCCCAGACUCCUACGGGAGGCAGCAGUGGGGAAUAUUGCACAAUGGGCGCAAGCCUGAUGCAGCGACGCCGCGUGGGGGAUGACGGCCUUCGGGUUGUAAACCCCUUUCGGCAGGGAACAAGCCCCUUCGGGU